ensembl:snRNA RNU6-1144P RNA, U6 small nuclear 1144, pseudogene
GUGCUUGCUUUGGCAGCACAUAUAUUAAAAUUGGAACGAUACAGAGAUUAGCAUGAUCUCUGCGCAAGGAUGACACACAAAUUCGUGAAGUAGUCCAUGUUUUU